rnacentral:misc_RNA from 1 species
UUCAUUUAUUUAUCAAAGACUCCGACGUACAGAGACAGGGUUGGUUGGUCCACCGGGGGCGGCGGAGGCCGCUCUGCCCCCGAGGCAAAAGUGGUUUGGUCAACAAAGGGUUGGGGACGGGGACGCGGGGGUCCACCAUCUCUUUUAAUGAUCCCUCCGCAGGUUCACCUACGGAGA